AGCUCAGUUGGUAGAGCAGGGGACUGAAAAUCCCCGUGUCGGCGGUUCGAUUCCGUCCCUGGCCA
rnacentral:tRNA from 1 species